rnacentral:rRNA from 1 species
UUGUUGGUGAGGUAAUGGCCCACCAAGACUAUUACAGGUACGGGCUCUGAGAGGAGUAGCCCGGAGAUGGGUACUGAGACAACGACCCAGGCCUUACGAGGCGCAGUAGGCGCGGAACCUCCGCAAUACACGAAAGUGUGACGGGGUUACCCAAGGUGUUCAAUAGAACUGUGGUAGGUGAGUAAUGUCCCCUACUAGAAAGGAGAGGGCAAGGCUGGUGCCAGCCGCCGCGGUAAAACCAGCUCUUCAAGUGGUCGGGAUAAUUAUUGGGCUUAAAGUGUCCGUAGCCGGUUUAGUAAGUUCCUGGUAAAAUCGGGUAGCUUAACUAUCUGCAUGCUAGGAAUACUGCUAUACUAGAGGGCGGGAGAGGUCUGAGGUACUACAGGGGUAGGGGUGAAAUCUUAUAAUCCUUGUAGGACCACCAGUGGCGAAGGCGUCAGACUGGAACGCGCCUGACGGUGAGGGACGAAAGCCAGGGGAGCGAACCGGAUUAGAUACCCGGG